UACAGAGGGUGCAAGCGUUAAUCGGAAUUACUGGGCGUAAAGCGUGCGUAGACGGUCAUGUAAGUCGGGUGUGAAAGCCCCGGGCUCAACCUGGGAAUUGCAUUCGAGACUGCAUGGCUAGGAUGCGGAAGAGGGAAGCGGAAUUUCCGGUGUAGCGGUGAAAUGCGUAGAUAUCGGGAGGAACACCAGUGGCGAAGGCGGCUUCCUGGCCUGUUCUUGACGCUGAGGCGCGAAAGCUAGGGGAGCAAACGGG
rnacentral:rRNA from 1 species